UAUUUUGAUCUCUUAAGUUUUAUUUAUUUCAUUUCACUCUCUUAAAUUACAAACAUUAUGCACUUGCAUAUCAAAACAAAUAUUAUACACUUUGUUCCCUUGAAUUAUAAAUAUUACAUAUAUUUUGGUCCUUUAAUUCAAUGUCGUUAAGAAAAAAAUAAACUCAAAUGUUCAACAACAUUUUUAUGUGAGAUCUUUAGUAAGACUUAGCGAUCGAUUUAGUGAGUUAAAGGGACAAAACAACAUAUCAAAAUACUUGAGGGACAUUUGAUAACGAUUCUAAUUUUUAAAAGGUUUUCUUGCAAUUCUAUAAGCUUGUUGUUUUCUUAUUAAUAUAGUUUGAGGUUCUUUAUACUAUAUAAAGUAUGAUGAAUUAGUUUGUUGAUUGUUAUAUGCAAAACAAAAUAUGACUACAUUUUUUAAGUCUGUGUAUACUAUGAUCAUCUUGCUUCUCCUAUUUCUUUUUGUAACAAAUGCGACUGCUAAUUGUACAUCUACCGUCAAUUGUGUACAUACUCCGUGUAUGUCACCUACCUUGCCUUUGUGCGUGCAAGAUGAAUGUGUAUGCGUUUAACAGACAGGUAGAUCUACUCAAGACAAUACUUCAUUCAAAAAUAACUGUAUUUUAUAUUUUCCAAUGUAAGACAAUACUCCCUCCGUUCUUAUAUGUAGGCACCAUUUGUCUUUAAUAAAAGAGUGCUUAGAUAUAGGGACGAAGAGAGUAUUUGCAACCAAUGGUAACACGUAUCCAUUAAUUUUGUGUGUGGUAUCAAUGAUCAAUACAAUUGCAAAAAUUAGCAACAACUCUUUGGAAUCUGGAUGCAUCCAAAAUAUAUAUAUCUCUCAAAAAUCAAAGGUUUCAUUUAUAUUCUAGGACCUUUCAAAGUUGAUCAA